GACGAACGCUGGCGGCGUGCUUAACACAUGCGAGUCGAACGGAAAGGCCCUGCUUUUGUGGGGUGCUCGAGUGGCGAACGGGUGAGUAACACGUGAGUAACCUGCCCUUGACUUUGGGAUAACUUCAGGAAACUGGGGCUAAUACCGGAUAGGAGCUCCUGCUGCAUGGUGGGGGUUGGAAAGUUUCGGCGGUUGGGGAUGGACUCGCGGCUUAUCAGCUUGUUGGUGGGGUAGUGGCUUACCAAGGCUUUGACGGGUAGCCGGCCUGAGAGGGUGACCGGCCACAUUGGGACUGAGAUACGGCCCAGACUCCUACGGGAGGCAGCAGUGGGGAAUAUUGCACAAUGGGCGGAAGUCUGAUGCAGCAACGCCGCGUGCGGGAUGACGGCCUUCGGGUUGUAAACCGCUUUCGCCUGUGACGAAGCGUGAGUGACGGUAAUGGGUAAAGAAGCACCGGCUAACUACGUG
rnacentral:rRNA from 1 species